rnacentral:lncRNA from 1 species
GGCAACUCGCUGGGGUCCCCUUCCACCCUUUGAAAACUUUGUUCUUUGGUUCUUUGCAAUAAAUGUUGCUGCUGCUCACUCUUCGGGUCUGCACUGGCUUUAUGAGCUGUAACACUCACUGCGAAGGUCUGCAGCUUCACUCCUGGAGCCAGUGAGACCCCGAGCCCACCGGGAGGACCGAAGAACUUCAGAUGCGCCGCGUUAAGAGCUGUAACACUCACCGCGAAGGUCUGCAGCUUCACUCCUGAGCCAGCGAGACCACGAACCCACCAGAAGGAAGAAACUCGGAACACAUCCGAAUAUCAGUAGGAACAAACUCCGGACACGCCGCUUUUAAGAACUGUAACACUCACCUCGAGGGUCCGCGGCUUCAUUCUUGAAGUCAGGGAGACCAAGAACCCCCCAAUUCCGGACACAGGGGGACUUGGCUGCUUCCUGUUUCUAUCAUAGACGCAGCUGGCCUCAGAAUAUUCCACUUAUGGAUGAAAGAAUGAUAGUGUUAUUUUAUGGAAGAAUUUAAGAAGAUGUUGCGGUAUCAUCGACUUUAUUUUUUGUUCAUUCUGAAAAUCACAUCGCCAGAUCCAACACCUUUUUAUCCCAAUCACCAGUACAAGCCACCCGUAUCAGUGUACACUGUGGCUGACCGAUCCAUAGUGAUGCUUUGAGAUUGAAGCCACAAAAUCCACAGCACACAAAGACCCUGCUACCAUGUAUUCACUUCAGUGAAAGGGAAGCACCGAAAUGCUGAGUGGGGGCAGGUACAGAUACUUCAAUCACUGCUGAUGGAAGACUUCGAGAUACACUGUAAAAACUUUGAGAAAUGUCAUGACUGGGCACAUUGGAACUGAGCACUUGUACAGGAUGGAACAUCUGUCAGCAGAUCUCAAGAAACUGGGAGCAAAGAUAUUUCUUAGGCUUCAGGUUCGUAGUCUUGAUACCCUUCCUAAUAUUAGAAAAAUCAAAAAGACAGCACACACUGUUAGUAUAAGUUUCAAUUACGCAUCAGCACUGACAGCCAAUGAGAUAGGAAAUGGCUCCCCACUUACACUAAAAUUUACAAUCAAUGUUUUUGCAAAUAUUCUGCAGCAAAUAUUAUCUUAUUUUUAAUAGUUGUGUCUUUCUUGUCUGAUAUAAAAGUGAAUUACAGUAGUAGUCAGAGUUAAAAUAUCUAGGUUCUGAUCCGGAUGCACCAUUUAAUGAUCAUAUACCUAGUUUGGUAGGACAAAUAAGUUGGACUGUCUGGUUCUCAGUUUCUUCACCUGUAAAAUGUGAGAACAAAAUCAAGCUGUCUAUAAAGCCUUUUCCAGACUAAGAUGCUCUAAUUCUCAGAAGGAAAUUAAGAUGUUUGAAGGCAAGAUACAUUUUCCCUACUUUCACUCUCCCAGUUGAAAAUUUCGUCUUCAUCUAUGGCUUCAAUUAUUACUUGUAUUUCAAACCUCAAGCUCUCCAUACAGUAUCUGGAUAGCAUCCACAACACAAAUAUUAAUGGAUUUAAUUAAAGGGAUCAGAUUAUUCCUCCUAAAGAGCAACUCUAAUAAUAUCAGGAUUCUGCUUAAAAACAAACAAAUAAGCAUAACUUCAAUAACUCAAGUUGUUUUCUGAAUAGAAUACAAGCUGAAAUGACAAGAUUAUCCUAAUACUCUAUAACUUGUCUUUGACCCAUAGCUGCAAAUUCAAUCUAUCACCAUUUUCCUUGUUCCUAAGCUUGAGUCAUAAUUAUUCACUGUUCUCAGACAUAUCCAUUUGCAUGCUCAGACAUACAUGCCUUUGCUUCUGAUAUUCCCUUGUGCCAGAAUGUCCUCUGUUUGUUUUGACCUACUAUAUCUCUUACCUUUUCCCACCCAGAUCAACAUUACCUCCUCAAUAAAACUUCUCCUGAUUGAUUGAAACAGAUCUUUAAAAUGUUUUACUUUUUAGUAUGUCUUAUAUAUUUUUGCUCCUGUGAUGCCUGGUACAUCGAAGACAAUCAAUUAUGUUUGUUAAAGGAAUCAUAAUGAAGAAAUGAAUGAAUGAAUUUCUAUUUUUUUUCAUCAAACCUACCAGACUGUAAACUCCUUAUGUCCUGGUAAUGUCAAUUACUCUAUAGUUUUCCAUUGUGUUUAGUACUGUGUCUUGCAUAAAAGACCCCAAAAUAUUGGAAAUUCUUAUUAGGCAAACAAACAAUUUAAUCUCAAUUUCUAUAAGUUGAAUUAUUAUCAAUAUGCCUUUCGUGUGUCUGUGUGAGACAGUCUUGCUCUGUUACCAAGAUUGGAGUGCAGGGGUGCCAUCUCAGCUCACUGCAACCUCUGCCUCCUGGGUUCAAGUGACUCUCAUGCCUCAGCCUCCCAAGUAGCUGGAACCAUAGGCGUGUACCACCAUGCCCGGCUAAUUUUUGUAUUUUUAGUAGAGAUGGGGUUUCACCAUGUUGGCCAGACUGGUCUCCAACUCCUGGCCUCAAGUAACCUGGCCACUUUGGCUCACAAAGUGCGGGAUUACAGGUGUGAACUGCUGUGCCCAUCCUCGACAUGCCUUUUAAUAAUGCCGUGAGGAAUAAUACAUAACCAAACUACAACAUACUUGAACUCAAUUUUUAAUGGAGCCAUUAUAUAGUUUCUUUUCUUGUGAUAUCUUCAUUUGGUUUUGAUUAUCAGGGUAAUAUUGGUCUCACAAAAUUAGUUGGGAAAUGUCUCCUCUUCUGUUUUGUAAGAGAUAUUAAUUGGUGUUAACUAAU